UACGGAGGAUCCAAGCGUUAUCCGGAUUUAUUGGGUUUAAAGGGUGCGUAGGCGGCUUAUUAAGUCAGGGGUGAAAGACGGUGGCUCAACCAUCGCAGUGCCUUUGAUACUGAUGAGCUUGAAUAUACUAGAGGUAGGCGGAAUGUGACAAGUAGCGGUGAAAUGCAUAGGUAUGUCACAGAACACCGAUUGCGAAGGCAGCUUACUAUGGUAUUAUUGACGCUGAGGCACGAAAGCGUGGGGAUCAAACAGG
rnacentral:rRNA from 1 species